rnacentral:tRNA from 1 species
UAAGAAUUAGUUAAAAUAUAACAUAAACUUGUCGUGUUUAAGUUGAAGUGUCAUUCUUAA